ensembl:lncRNA
CACAGGUGACACACACAGGUGACACACAGGUGACACAGGUGACACACAGGUGACACACAGGAGGUGACACAGGUGACACAGCUGUCCCUGUCCCCAGAUCCCGCUGGCCUGGCUGGUGUCGCGGUUCCUGCGGGGUCCCUACGGGAACGCGGCCGUGUGGAUGUCGCUGAUCCUGGGCCAGCCCAUCGCCGUCCUCAUGUACGUGCACGACUACUACGUGCUCAACUGCGAGCCCUGACACCCCAAAAACACCCAAAAACACCCCAAAAACACCCAAAAACCCCCGGAAUGUGGGAUUUUGGUGUCUCAGGGCUGCGUCAGCUGGAUCCUGAACACCUGGGGAUGUUUGGAGGAACCCCAAAAACACCCAAAAAACACCCAAAAACCCCCGGAAUGUGGGAUUUUGGUGUCUCAGGGCUGCGUCAGCUGGAUCCCGAACACCUGGGGAUGUUUGGAGGAACCCAAAAACACCCAAAAACACCCCAAAAACACCCAAAAACACCCAAAAACCCCCGGAAUGUGAGAUUUCGGUGUCUCAGGGCUGCCUGAGCUGGAUCCCGAACACCUGGGGAUGUUUUGGCAUCCCAAAAACACCCCAAAAACACCCAAAAACCCCCGGAAUGUGAGAUUUUGGUGUCUCAGGGCUGCGUCAGCUGGAUCCCGAACACCUGGGGAUGUUUGGAGGAACCUUUGGCAUCCCAAAAACACCCCAAAAACACCCAGAAACACCCAAAAACACCCCAAAAACACCCAAAAACACCCAAAAACACCCAAAAACCCCGGAAUGUGGGAUUUUUGGUGUCUCAGGGCUGCGUCAGCUGGAUCCCGAACACCUCGGCCGCGUCGCUGCGGUGCCGGUGUAGACAGGCGGCCUCGGAGGAACCCUCGGCGUCGCGCACGUUGUACUCGCCCUUCUUGCACGCCGUGGUUUUCAGGUAAUAACCGCCGGCCGCCGCCAGCGCCAGCGCCACCGCGACAGCCAGAGCUCCCAGCGCCGCCAGCACCGCCAGCCAGCUCUCUGCGGGGAAACGGUGACGGUGACACCGGGAAACGGCACCGGUGACACCGGGAAACGGCACCGGUGACACCGGGAAACGGCACCGGUGACACCGAGACAGCACCAGUGACCCUGAGUAAAGCACCAGUGACACCAGGAACAGCCCCGGUGACACCAAAGAACCACCGGUGACACCGGGAACAGCCCAGGUGACACCGGGAAUGGCACCAGGGACACCGGGAAUGGCACCAGGGACACCGGGAACAGCCCCAGUGACACCAGGAACCACCGGUGACACCGUGAACAGCCCUGGUGACAUCGGGAACAGCCCCAGUGACCCUGAGUAAAGCACCAGUGACACUGGGAACAGCCCUGGUGACACCAAGGAACCACCGGUGACACCGGGAACAGCACUGGUGACACCAAGAAUGGCACCAGUGACACCAGGAAUGGCACCAGGGACACCGGGAAUGGCACCAGGGACACCGGAAACAGCCCAGGUGACACCAAGGAACCACCGGUGACACCGGGAACAGCCCCAGUGACACCAGGAACAGCCCCGGUAACACCAGGAACAGCCCCGGUGA